GAUGAACGCUGGCGGCGUGCCUAAUACAUGCAAGUCGAGCGCGAGAGUGAGGAGCUUGCUCCUCAUGAUCGAGCGGCGGACGGGUGAGUAACACGUAGGCAACCUACCCUUGAGAUUGGGAUAACUACCGGAAACGGUAGCUCAUACCGGAUACGACUUUUCCACAUAAGUGGAAUGGUUAAAAGGCGGACUUAUCUGCCGCUCAUGGAUGGGCCUGAGGUGCAUUAGCUAGUUGGUGAGGUAGUGGCUCACCAAGGCGACGAUGCAUAGCCGACCUGAGAGGGUGAUCGGCCACACUGGGACUGAGACACGGCCCAGACUCCUACGGGAGGCAGCGGUAGGGAAUCUUCCGCAAUGGACGCAAGUCUGACGGAGCAACGCCGCGUGAGUGAUGAAGGGUUUCGGCUCGUAAAACUCUGUUGUUAAGGAAGAACACUUGUGGUAGUAACUGGCCUUGAGAUGACGGUACUUAACCAGAAAGCCACGGCUAACUACGUGCCAGCAGCCGCGGUAA
rnacentral:rRNA from 1 species